GAUGAACGCUGGCGGCGUGCCUAAUACAUGCAAGUCGAACGCUGAAGGAGGAGCUUGCUCUUCUGGAUGAGUUGCGAACGGGUGAGUAACGCGUAGGUAACCUGCCUGGUAGCGGGGGAUAACUAUUGGAAACGAUAGCUAAUACCGCAUGACAACAGUUAUUGCAUGAUAACUGUUUAAUAGGGGCAACUGCUCCACUACCAGAUGGACCUGCGUUGUAUUAGCUAGUUGGUGAGGUAACGGCUCACCAAGGCGACGAAACAUAGCCGAGCUGAGAGGGUGAUCGGCCAGAAUGGGAAUGAGACACGGCCCAGACUACUUCGGGAGGCAGCAGUAGGGAAUCUUCGGAAAUGGACGGAAGUCUGAGCGAGCAACGACGCGUGAGUGAAGGAGGUUUUCGGAUCGUAAAGCUCUGUUGUUAGAGAAGAACAAGUGUGAGAGUGGAAAGUGCACACUGUGACGGUAUCUGACCAGAAAGGGACGGCUAACUACGUG
rnacentral:rRNA from 1 species